rnacentral:rRNA from 1 species
UACGUAGGGUGCAAGCGUUGUCCGGAUUUAUUGGGCGUAAAGAGCUCGUAGGCGGUUUGUCGCGUCGGAUGUGAAAACCCAGGGCUCAACCCUGGGCCUGCAUUCGAUACGGGCAGACUAGAGUAUGGCAGGGGAGACUGGAAUUCCUGGUGUAGCGGUGAAAUGACGCAGAUAUCAGGAGGAACACCGGUGGCGAAGGCGGGUCUCUGGGCCAAAACUGACGCUGAGGAGCGAAAGCGUGGGGAGCGAACAGG